AUUGAACGCUGGCGGCAUGCCUUACACAUGCAAGUCGAACGGCAGCACGGGAGCAAUCCUGGUGGCGAGUGGCGAACGGGUGAGUAAAGUAUCGGAACGUGCCCAGUCGUGGGGGAUAACGUAGCGAAAGUUACGCUAAUACCGCAUACGAUCUAUGGAUGAAAGCGGGGGAUCGCAAGACCUCGCGCGAUUGGCGCGGCCGAUGCCGGAUUAGCUCGUUGGUGGGGUAAAAGCUCACCAAGGCGACGAUCCGUAGCUGGCCUGAGAGGAUGAUCAGCCACACUGGGACUGAGACACGGCCCAGACUCCUACGGGAGGCAGCAGUGGGGAAUUUUGGACAAUGGGGGCAACCCUGAUCCAGCCAUGCCGCGUGAGUGAAGAAGGCCUUCGGGUUGUAAAGCUCUUUCGGCCGGGACGAAAUCGCAUGGGUGAAUAUCCUGUGUGGAUGACGGUACCGGAAUAAGAAGCACCGGCUAACUACGUGCCAGCAGCCGCGGUAA
rnacentral:rRNA from 1 species